ensembl:snRNA U6 U6 spliceosomal RNA
GGGCUCACUUCUGCAGCACGUAUACUAAAGUUGGAAGGCAGAGAUUAGCAUGGCCCUUGAGCAGGGAUGACAACACAAAUUUGUGAAGCUCUCCAUAUUUCU